GCCUUGGCAGUCCCCAUCUGGCAUCUAAAACCUGGAAGGCUCCAGGAGAGUUCUGGAUCUUCAGCCCACCUUGGAAGCCUAAAGAAGCUGGAGUCUGAUGCCACCAGGGGUUGGAGGCAGCAGCAGGAGAGAGAUGCACUUAAGAGGUGAAGGCUGCAGGCUGGCCACACUGCAUAUACCAUGGAGGUCAGCACUGGGAUGCACUGCCCACACGGGAAGAGUCUCCCUGCCUCAGAGACAGACAGGACUUUCAGACCCUGUGGGGAAGCUGACUUUAUUUGGAAGCUCUGUGGAGUUGUCUAAAUCAACGCUGGGAGGAAUUGAACACAGUUACUCUGUGCUCACAGACUGUGUCUUUAACAAUAUCUACAGGAUGCUUUUGAGGAAGGAAUUGAAACAGCCUAGAUGUGCACCAAAUGAAGAAUGGAUAAUGAAAGUGUGCUACGUAUACACCGUGGGUCCAUUGUGAUGAAAAAUGACAUCGUGAAAUUAUCAGGGAAAUGAUGCUGUGCGUGCAGACAUGUGUCACCAGGCCUGGCCCCUGAGUCGGUGCUGGAGAUCCGAACCCUCGAGCUUGCACAGUGACCCAGCCCCCGUGACUCUCUUUUCAAGCAAGCACUCUGGCAGUCCUCACAGGAAGUAGUUGGUGGUUGAGUACGGGUACAGCAUGCACAGGCCCUGGAUUUGUUCCACAACACCAAAGCAGAAGGUAAUAGAACAAAACGAUAACAAAACCCAAUCCAAACCAAAGGGAUGCAUAAAGUCUAGCAUUGAGAAGCAGAGACAGGGCUUUGGACACUCUGAGAAACC
rnacentral:lncRNA from 1 species